UGCAAUGCGAGCCUCUCUCUUUCUUGAAAUCAGUGGCUCAAUUUCUUCCAGGUUUUCGGCAAACCAAUCAGGAUUUCUCCUCUUCUGGAUACCGAGGACCUCUUCCGCGGAUUUGGUGAGCGCAGUUUUCAAGUGCUCCCAGUCUGAGUGGACAGUGGCAGGAAGGGUCCGAGGUUGAGUGUCCAGUUUGUCCGCGAGGGACGUCUGGUACUGUUCGAGGACUUUGGGAUUCCUCAGCAGCCCAACAUUGAAACGUAUCCUCUUGGGGAUCUUCUUCCUUCUUUUCGCAGGCGCGAUCUUUAGCCUAAGUCUUGAGGCUACCAGCCUGUGAUCGGACCAUCCGUCAUCCAUGGAGCGGAUUGCCCUCGUGACCAUGACGUCCGCUCGGUCGCAGAUGCGGUUGCCAACGCCUUCCUUCCCCAGAAUCCCUCCCCAAAGCUGAUGGUCCCGGCCCACCCGCGCGUUGAAAUUCCCCAGAACCAAGAGCUUAUCCCGGGGGUUGACGCGGAGGAUCAGGCCACGCAGCGCGGCAUAGAAGGACUCCUUCGCCUCCUCCGAGGCGUCCAGGGUAGCUCGUCCGCUCCAGAAGAAGGUGUACCCGUGCCGAGGCUCCUCGAUCUGCCCGGCACCAGGGAGACGGGUCUCGGAGAGGGCAACAAUGUCCAGGCCGAGCUUCUGAAUCUCAAGGGCGAUGAGGGCAGUCCUGCGCUCCGGUCUAUUUGCUCUUGCGUUGUCCAUCAGGGAUGAAUCUGCUGGAGGCGGGUCUCCAGCCGAUCGGUGGCGGUGAUGGGCGUGUUUAGGCCGCCUUUUAUUGGCCCUUCCUCGGAUUGAGGGGAGCAGCGCUACGACUAAAGAGUCCUGCUCCGCCACCGUGGUCGCUGCCUCUCCCCUGCACCAUCACCAGUUCGCAAGGGGAGCGACCUUCGUGCCACGGCCGCCGACAUGUGGUUGUGGAACUAGGGACGUGGGCCCUCAUCUGAGCCUGUCCCCGACGCCCCGCGCCAUCGCCGCCGGACUUCUUGAGGUGAAGGGGAUCGGGAGAAGGGGGACGGGUCGCAACCCCGCCCCCGCACUUCGACCCCGUGGCCAGGGUCCACGGCAGCGCGGUGGACGACGGUGCGCCGGGCCCUGUGUUUUAUUUUGAAGGGUGGGCAUUCCUUCAUAACCCAAGGUGGAUGGUCGGCUUGGGGAUCCGGUCCGCCGCCUUGCUAGGCGCUUAACGCCAGGACUGCGGUGGAUUUGUAUACCGCCGGACGCGGUCCCGCGGGAUUUUACUGACCCGAAGGUCAUUACCACUUCGCACCAACUCUCCAGUGAUGGAAAGUCUCGUCAAUUCGGCGUGGAGGCUCCCUUACGGACUUCACUGCGAUCCACUAGGAAUUGCCGACGGUUUGAUCCGCACCUUUGAGCCUAGGGAUCGCAGAUCUUUGCGAAGCUUUAACCGAAAGGGGGAAAAAACAGGAGAAAGAAAAGUCGGCUCCUAUUAAGAGUAGUUCCCGAUUAGGAGCCGGCUCACGUAGUUCACGUCAAAGUACAGGCUCUAAGAGACGGUUCGUUCGCGAACGACACAUCACUACUGCACUUUAGUUGUGUCUUAGUGACUUACAGUGUACUGAAGUUUACACCAAAUUUGUGUGGCAGAAUUAUCUUGCCUUUAUCUUAUUGCCCGGUAAUGUGUAAUAAAUCUGACAAUGUUUGUUGUAGUAAAUAUUCAUUAUUGAUUGAACAAUAAAUUCGAAAGUACCUUGAAAAAAAAUGCAAAUUAUAUCUCAGUUGCAAUUUUGUUGAAAAAAAUAAAAUAAAAUUACAUUCGUUUCCAGAAGUCAUUCAGCCCUAAUUCGUAGACACAAUUGGAUGAAAUAAUCAAGCCAAUAUACACUACACUCAUCAUGUACAGGUGGUCAAGUGAG